rnacentral:rRNA from 1 species
GGAGUUAGCCGGUGCUUCUUCUGUGAGUGAUGUCCUUCCUGCCGGUUAUUGACCCGCAGGCCUUCUUCCUCACUGAAAGUGCUUUACAACCCGAAGGCCUUCUUCACACACGCGGCAUGGCUGGAUCAGGGUUGCCCCCAUUGUCCAAUAUUCCCCACUGCUGCCUCCCGUAGGAGUCUGGGCCGUGUCUCAGUCCCAGUGUGGCUGAUCAUCCUCUCAGACCAGCUACGGAUCGUCGCCUUGGUGAGCCGUUACCUCACCAACCAGCUAAUCCGACAUAGGCUCAUCCGAUAGCGCGAGGCCCGAAGGUCCCCCGCUUUCCCCCGUAGGGCGUAUGCGGUAUUAGCCUGGGUUUCCCCAGGUUAUCCCCCACUACCGGGCAGAUUCCUAUGCAUUACUCACCCGUCCGCCGCUCGCCACCAGGGAGCAAGCUCCCCGUGCUGCCGCUCGACUUGCAUGUGUUAGGCCUGCCGCCAGCGUUCAAUCUGAGCCAUAAUCAAACUCUG